AUGUAUUCACCCCCUCUGUUAUGAAGCCCAUAAAAAGCACUGGUGCAACCAAUUACCUCCAGAAGUCACAUAAUUAGUGAAAUGAUGUCCACCUGUGUGCAAGUGUCACAUGAUCUGUCAUUACAUUUACACACCUUUUUUGAAAGGCCCCAGAGGCUGCAACACUUAACCAAACACUGCCAUGACGACCAAGGAACUCUCCAAACAAGUAAGGCACAAUGUUGUUGAGAAGUACACAUCAGGGUUAGGUUAUAAAAAAAUAUCCAAAUCUUUGAUGAUCCCCAGGUGCACCAUCAAAUCUAUCAUAACCAAAUGGAAAGAACAUGGCACAACAGCAAACCUGCCAAGAGACGGCCGCCCACCAAAACUUACGGACCAGGCAAGGAGAUGCAUUAAUCAGAGAGGCAGCACAGAGACCUAAGGUAACCCUGGAGGAGCUGCAGAGUUCCACAGCAGAGACUGGAGUAUAAUAAGCCGUACAUAGGACGACAAUAAGCCGUACGCUCCAUAGAGUUGGGCUUUAUGGCAGAGUUGCUAGAAGAAAGCCAUUACUUUCAGCAAAAAACAAAAUGGCACGUUUUGAGUUUGCGAAAAGGCAUAUGGGAGACUCACAAAAUGUAUCGAGGAAGGUGCUCUGGUCUGAUGAGACUCACUAUGGGAGACUCAAAGAAAACGCUAUGUCUGGCGCAAACCCAACACAUCACCCAAAGAACACCAUCCCCACAGUGAAACAUGGUGGUGGCAGCAUCAUGAUGUGGGGAUGUUUUUCAGCAGCCCAAAAUGGGAAACUGGUCAGAGUUGAGGGAAAGAUGGAUUGUGCUAAAUACAGGGAAAUUCUUGAGCAAAGCCUGUACCACUCUGUUCGUGAUUUGAGGCUAGGACAGAGGUUCACCUUCCAGUAGGACAAUGACCCCAAACACACCGAUAAAGCAAAACUUGAGUGCUUUAAGGGGAAACAUGUAAAUGUAUUGGAAUGGUCUAGUCAAAGCCUAGACCUCAAUCCAAUAGAAAAUCUGUGAUCAGACUUAAAGAUUGCUGUUCACAAGCGCAAACCAUCCAACUUGAGUAAGCUGGAGCAGUUUUACAAGGAGGAAUGGGCAAAAAUCCCAGUGAUAAGAUGUGGCAAGCUCAUAGAGACUUAUCCAAAGCAACUUGGAGCUGUGAUUACCGCAAAAGGUGACUCUACAAAGUAUUGACUUUAGGGGGGUGAAUAGUUAUGCACAUUGACUUUUUCUGUUAUUUUGUCCUAUUUGUUGUUUUCUAC